CAAACGACAAGACGUGGACGUUUUGGAAGCAAAUUUAAUAAAUUUUGUUAUUUUACGUAGCCCUGAGCUCGUUUUUGCAUUAAAUAAUGGAGAUAGCACAAAAUUAUAUGGGUCCUCUCGCGACCGACACAAUGACCAGGAUCAACGAGAACGGCAAUGUAGUGGGGACGAUCAUCGUGAACUGCGAGGGGUUUCCGGAGACGACCACUCUGGACAGCUUGACCGCUGCCACCUACUCCACGCAUAUGCGCAACUUAUCCCAUCAUGCUACUAAUGCUCUCAAAGAAAUUGAUGUCACGGAUGAGCUGGUAGUACUACGACUCGUGGCGAAAAAGACAGAGGCAGUCGUGGCACCAGACCACGAGUUCCACUUAAUCGUUGUUAUGAGGAAAACUUAAAUUUGUCAUAAUAUGUAAUUAAAUACAUAUAUAGUAUGGAUGUAAUAAAUAACUUGAUUAUUUUUGUUAUAACAAAUAAUGACCAAGAUAGUAAAAGCCAAAAUGGCGCCAAAUAAAUAUAUUUUUUCUGUCUGUCUGUUCAAUAGAA